rnacentral:hammerhead_ribozyme from 1 species
AGGCGAAACCGGGCUCCGGCCCGGUCCGCGCGCCAUGGGCGAGCGCGCGCUGAUGAGCCCGCCCACG